AGCUCUUGCUCUUGCUCCUUUGCCUGCUUGCUGCGUGAGACUGAGUAACUGCUAGAUCCUUGGACUUCCAUUCACAGCUGCGACUGAACAAUUGUUGGGAAUUCGGCUGCCGACUGGCUCAUCCCUUCUGAAUAGAAAAUGAUUCAUACUCACCCAGUGUGAAAGGUACAGAAAGGGCUUUGCCCAGAGGCUCAAGAGUCCGGGACACACUGGUUUAUACAAUCACACAGCGCUGGAGAUGAAGAGUACCAUAGUCGUUAUGUAAUCUUACUGGAAGUGAAGGAAGAAGCUAGGCCUCCAACGGGACAAUAUCUUUACACUAAGAGUCUGAAUGACUAUAAGCCGGCCAUGCCUGAUUAAUGCUAGGACAUACAUCAUAAAUCAAAAAGGUAUUUGCAGGUGCCCAUGGAAGCUAAACAGGAACAUCGGAUCCCUUGGAGCUAGAGUUAGAGGAAUUUGGAGCUGUUGUCCCAUUUAGGGACGGGGAUCUGAACUUGGGUCCUCUGGUACAGCAGCAUGAACCCUGACUGAUACAGAAGAGGAAAGACUUGAGGCCCAGCAUCAGAAUCUCCUCAUCCAGACUCCCACCCCAUCCUGAAUUCCUGCUUCCCUAGUCUCAAGGUUGCAACCUCAGAGUUGUCCCUUAGAGCUCAGAGCAGCUAUUGUUCUGUUCAUUUCAUCUUGAGUUCCCUUCCCAGCUUUGAUCUGCAUUUGCUUCCUGAUCUGGUAACUUUUCAUGUUGCUGUAACCAGCUACCUGAGAAAAAGUCUCCUGACAGGAGAAGGUGUCCUGGCUGACAGUUUGAGAGUCAAGUCCACCACGGUAGAGAGGGCAUGCUCACUGUGAUUCCUCAACGGCUCACAUCUCAGAGGACCUAAGCAAAGACAGAAAAGAAAGUGGGGCCAGAAUUUAGAAGGCUUACAAACCUCAAAGCUUGUUCCUAAAACUCACUUCCUCUAGCUUAGGCUCCACCUGUAGAAGGUUCUACAACCUCCCCAAACCAGUGCCAUUAGCUGAUGACCACAUCUUCAACCAUAUGUGCUUGCUGGAGACACUCUGUUCAAACCACAAGACUCCUUAAGUUGUUUCUGCCUCCUUAAAGACUGGGUGACACAGCAUUUUAAGUGGCUGUCACCCUGGUAACCCCCAACCCAAUAGCUUCACUACCACUAUUUGUUCCAACUCCAGC